rnacentral:lncRNA from 1 species
CUUCUUCAGUACUGACGCAUAAAAGGAGGGGGGACGCGAAUCCCCUCUUAUAUAGCUUAUCCCCUAUCAUUGAAUACCAUGCCGCCAUUUUCCUCAAUUUAAAAGCCUUUUCCCUUUCUUUCUGGAGCUCAUCCUUUUGGAGGUACCGGAUAAUGGGCGAUCUCCAGUCUUCUUCUUCUAUUACCAUCAUUACCUCUUCCCCAUUGAUGCUGGGAGUUUUUAUGGUUUCUU